rnacentral:misc_RNA from 1 species
UGGAAUCACGGAAACUGUGAAUAAAAUAGCCUGAAUAUAGUGAAUAAAUUGUUGCCGGGGUGCUAGGAUAUGAAUAUUAAUGCUGAACCAUUUUUACCGACAAAGUUUCAUAGUGUUUCGUAUAAUUUGAAUACCACUUUUGAAGAUUUUUAUUUGCAAAACAAACUUCAGUAUAUACAGACUCCUCGUGUGAUGUCCCCAACUGCGAUAACAGCAACCUCAAACUCGCCACCUCAACAUUUGUGGUCAAGACAAAACAUGUAUACACCCAACCAGCCAGAUCCUGCCGCAUAUGGCAGCUACACAUCACAACCAUCCACCACCUACACUCCGCGCAGUAUGCCGGCCGCAAGUCCAAACACAUCUCAGUCCAGCGGGGGUAGCCAGUCGGGGUCAGAGCAGCUCAGCAAGACAAAUCUAUAUAUACGGGGACUCAAUCCAAAUACCACAGACAAAGAUCUUGUAAACUUAUGUUCACCAUAUGGUAAAAUCAUUUCCACAAAGGCCAUAGUAGACCAGACCACAAACAAAUGUAAAGGCUAUGGGUUUGUGGACUUUGAGACGAAUCAGGCAGCAGAAGUUGCGGUACAGGCAUUACAAGCUCAGGGCAUACAAGCACAAAUGGCUAAGCAACAAGAACAAGACCCCACAAAUCUCUACAUUGCCAAUUUACCACUAUAUUUCUCUGAACAAAAUUUGGAAAAUAUGUUGAAAGAUUAUGGAACAGUGAUAUCCACGAGGAUUCUCCGAAAACCUGAUGGUGUCAGUCGGGGAGUUGGGUUUGCACGUAUGGAGUCCAAAGAAAAAUGUGAACAAGUAAUAAAUGGUUUUAAUGGGAAAAUUUUGCCAGGCUGCACAGAACCAUUACUCGCAAAAUUCGCGGACGGAGGAAACAAGAAAAAGGUGCCGUAUAUUCAACCGACAAAAUUAUGGCCGGAUCGGACGGAUGUAACUAUUCCUACACUGGCAUAUGACCAGGCUGCCUUAGCUCAAAAUGGUCUUUACCUGCCUUACAGUAUAGCAGCCCCAGGUGGAGCAGCAUUGAUGACCCCGGGGAUUUUGCCCCGUUACAGUGUGGCAUCAUCACCCACUACGUACCAAGUACAAUCUAACCCCGGCGCCUUCGUCACACCACAAUACAUUAUGCAACCCCCAAUGGCACAUUCUCAAUAUUAUGGUUUUCAGUAGAAAUUUCUCAGUACGCAGCUUUAACAACACCAGGAUACACGCAAGUUCCAUACCAAGCGGGAACCAUUCUACAGACAGUUCCAAUAGAGUCCAACAACAAUCUUGGUUUAAAGGCCACUAUACCAAUGUGAUAUCAGGGGAGAUAAGUAGAACAGCCAACCAAUCACCUCAUCAUGUGAUCUACAUCCCACAUCUGAUUGGAUGAUUCUUUCAGCAUCUUUACAUUUGAUUGGAUGGAAUGCUUUUGAACUGGAAUGAUCUGAUUGGAUGAAAAGACUUUAUUCAGUUGGAUUGGAUGAUUAAAAAAUUUUGUAGAUUAGAUAUUUUUCAUUUUCAUUUUUUGCCAGUGUUCCUUUAUUGAAACUGUUUGUUGAUGUUCAUGUUGGAAUGAUUUUUAUUUUUGUGCUGAUUUUCCUUGAUUUAUGUUUUUUUUUCUUUUUUAUUAUGAUUCAUAAUUUAUGAAAUUUGAAUUUAAUAUAUGUAAUUUAUCUUGAUUUGUUUGUUUAAGAUUUAUUAGACAUAAACUUACAUCAGAUGAAAUAGCUUUACCUGCUCUAUGUGUCAUUAUAAUUUAGGAAAAUUUAUAUAGAGCAAAAAAUGAGAUUAUAUGUAUACCUCAACCCACAGAUUUUUACUAGUGUACAACAACUCAUACAAGACAAAAAAAGCAGGAAGUACUACCUUUAGUUACAAAAUAUGUAGCCUUUUGGUGAAAGAAGCAUUUUUGUGAUGCAUUAUUUGACCAAAAAAAAAGGGAUCAUGUUGGGAUUACUAGAAAAAGAGGAGUUGAUACGUAUGAGAGUUCAACCUGAAGACUUUAAGUUUGGUAGAUUUCAUUAUCCUUAAAUGAUGCAAAAUUAAAUGGUUUGAAAUUCUAUGAUUUAUUAGUUUUGUGAAGAAACUUUCAUUAAAUGUGUUGAAAAGAAAGACUUUGAACACCUUUUGAUAGAAAAGACAACAUUUCCUAUUUAUUGAAUGAGAGCUUCUCAAAGAAGUGUUUUUAAGUGUUGCUGAAGUUUUAAAGUCUAGCUUAUAUUAUUUUACAUUGUUAAAGAUAUCCUGGUGUUAUUUCAUAUGAAGGUUAUAUUUAAGGUAGAAGGAUUCCUAUAUCAAAAAUCCUGAAAACAGUCAUUCAGUGUGUUUAAAGAAAAGAUGAAAAUUUGACAAUACUUUUAUUUUGACUGUUGUUACUGCAGUCAUAUAGAGAGUAUAACUAAAAAAUCUCACAAUUACUGUCAUUUUCUCAUAUUUUUUAUCUAAAUCUUCAGAUCAUAAAAAAUACAGGUAUUUUUGUUAAAAGGUAUCUUUCUGCCUUAAGAAUCCCAAAGUCUAUGUUUUAUAGACAUAAAACUGUUGUACAUAAUUCAGUAGAUCAUAGUAAAUCAUUGUAGGUUUAUAGGAAUAAUUCAUCAGUCAUCAUAAUGUUGAAACUGCUUGUUGGAAGACAAAUAUAUAUUGGAAUCAAUGUAUCAAGUUAUUUUUAGCAUCGUUAAUUUUCUCGUCGAUGGGAGCAGCUAACAAAAGGGAGAUUAUUCUUGAAAAUUGUUACAUCAGUAAUCUCCUUUUAAUAUAGAAAUGGUGAUUAUUUGAGGAGUAACAUGCAAGAAAGAAGCUUUCUAGACAUUUUAGUCACCCAGUAUAUGAAACAGAAUGUGGAAUAUUCAGAUUCCAUCAAGUUUGAAUGUUUUAGGCGGGUUGGUUUAGUGAGCAAAACUUUUGAUUGUUGUUCAAAAUAAGUCAAAUGUGUUGGACACCAAAGUUGCUGUAUAUGAUUAUGAUGCAGUGGGUUUUGUUGUUGAAAACCUAUUUAUCAGGUGACUGCAUGAAGUUAUUGUAAAGUUUGUAUCAUUUGAAUGAAAUGAUAGCAUUAUGUUGAAUAGCAUUUUAGCUUUGUACAGUUCUGACCCAUCAUAAAGGAGAAAAUUUAACAUCAGUGCUACCAAAAUAACUAGAUGAAAUCUUUUUCAGCAUUUUUCAUUCUUAACAUAAUUUUUUGGUUUCAAAAUUCUUUCGAAAUAAUUUCAUUUAUUUGACACUUAUUUUCGAGAUAUUUGAAGGCAGUUAAUAUCUUCAGAAUAAAACUUGCAUAAAGUGAUGUAUAUUAUAUGCACACAAAUAGCUGGUGGAAUUUAUUUGAAAAUGUAGAAAGAGAAACCCCUUGUGGAGAUUAGCUUCAUAUAUUUUGACUGUUUCUGGUGAGAAUUUGGUGCUGUGGAGAAACUUUGAUGAUAGAUAAAAUAAGUGGAAUAAAAUGGAUUUAGAAUAGAUUUGGAAAAAGUCAAGCUAUUUAAAAUUAUGCACUACUGGACUUUAGAAUAGUAUUGAAAAAAAUCAAUGGGCAAGGGCUAUUUAAAAAUGCUGCUCUACUGGAAUUUAGAAUAGUAUUGCAAAUAAGCAAAGGCUGUUUAAAAACAGAGUUGACUUAAGUGUGCAGUAUUUUAGGUAGAAUCAGUGUAGUAAAAGUUUAGGCACUGCUCUACAAUUUUGUCAUUGUAGUGUAUUGCACAGACAUGUAGCCUACCAUGAAAACAAUAGUUGACUAUAUAUUGUUAAUCUCCAUACAGGUUAGAAUGAAAAAUUGUCUGUUAAAACACUUUCAGACUUUCAUUACUUCCAAAUUUUUAUCUUUUUCAUUUUUUUUUUAUGUUUUCUAUUUUUAAUUUUCUUUUGUUUUAAUGUCUUUUAAAACAAGUUGUUUUACACUUGAAAAAUAGUGCUGGCAGAUAGGGAAACAUGUGUGUAUAUGUGAAAAACCUCAUCCUUUUUGUGUAAAUAUUAAAAAUCAUGUAGUUGUUAUUUUUUGAUGAAAAAUUGCCUUUUUGAAAUGCCUUUUUAAUACAUGUUCCUUGGUGGUGUAAGUCAUGUUGCGGUCAUGUUUUGUUUUAUCAGUGUUUCAUACACCAUUUCGUAGAUCAAUGGCAAAAGAUAGAAAGUUUUAACAAGUCUUAACCAAGUUCCUGGCCCAUUUUCAUCUCAACUAUUCGUGAGACAUUUUCAUUAUUUAAGCAUUUUCUUCCUCUAAAUGAAACCUGUUUUAGUGGAUUCUGAAGAAAAUAUGAUAUAUUUGGGCAGUAAUUAUGAUAAAUGAUAGACUUUUAAACAGUACCUUCAUAUUCAGUAUUUUGUUUUAUGGCGGCGUAGAGAUAGAGCGCCUAAUGAGUAUGGGCCAAUGGCUGGGAACAACAAACAACUGAUGUGAUGAAAUAUGUUUAAAGUUUGUGUUUGAACUAAAACUGUUUGAAAAUACUUUGCAAAAUGUUUGUCUAUGUAACGAAAGAAAGGCUUUUUGUAAUUCUCACCAGAAUUCUAGCAUUUCAUGUAAUAUCCACCUUGGUAUAUCCAUUGCAUAUAUGUAGGUUAGGUACCAUAAGGAUGCACUGCUAACUUUAAGCCAAGAUUGUUUUGCUGUUUGAAUUUUCUUGAUAUUUCCAAUGCUGGAAUAUUUCUAAUGCUGGAAUGUUCCUUAGUAGUUCCAGUGUUAAAAUGUUCCUGAAGAUUUCCAAUGCUGGAAUGUUCCUAAACAUUUCCAGUGCUAGAAUGUUCCAGAUGAUAUCCAGUGUUGGAAUGUUCCUGAAGAUACACAAUGCUGGAAUGUUCCUUAAUAUUGCCAGUGCUAGGAUGUUCCAGACAAUAUCCAGUGUUGGAAUGUUCCUGAAGAUUUCCAAUGCUGGAAUGUUUCUAAACAUUUCCAGUGCUAGAAUGUUCCAAAUAAUAUCCAGUGUUGGAAUGUUCCUGAAAAUUUCAAAUGCUGGAAUGUUCCUGUGUAAUAUCUGCUAUUGAAAUGUCCCUGAAUGCAGAAAUCUUGUCUUUGCAUGUUUUUUGUGGUAUUUUGGUGUUCAGUUGUUCACAGAAAUAUCAUAAAAAGUUAUUUUUGCAUCUGUUAAGGCUACUGUAUCUGCAAUGGGUCUACCAGGAUGAGUUAUCUUUUGUGCCAAAGAUACGGACAUACAAAAUAAUGAGGUGUAAUUGGUCUGAAAACAGGUGUAAACAGUUUAGAUGAAUUGAAUAUAGUCAACUGCAUUUGAUGCAAAUUUUCAUUUUGGAAAAAAAUCAACCCAUUGUUUUGGGCUAAAUAUUGUUAACUCUAUGUAUUGUUUAAAUGUGUCGUAUUUUCAUGUGUGCUCUUCAAGGAAAGGGGAUCAAUUUUGCCAUGUUCUGUUUGUUUUGUUCUCACAUUUCGUUCUCUCUGUAGUUUGAUAUUUUUUUCUGUAUAUGAAAUUCUUUAGGAAGAAAUUAAUCAGGAAUUAAAGAUGUGUUCAGUUUUAGCUAGAAAAGAAAUUAAUUAAAACCCUGAGGAAAUAGUGUCAAACAAUGAAAAUGUGCUGUGAAAAACUUGCAUUGAUCAAUAGUGUGAGUAGUAGAAGUCAAAAUUAUUCAGGCUUGAGUGUGUCAAUGUGAUUAAAGGCUUUGCAAAAUGGUUUGGUGUCAAACGACUAGGUACAUUGCAAGUACUUUCCAACACAUUUCUUGGACACUGCGGAGUAGUAACAAAUGUAUUUAUCCAAGAAAUAUUGUUUGAUUUUAACAGUUUUAUGAAACAUUCUUGAAGUUCUAUAGAUUUGAAAUUUACUUUCUUUUUGGCCUUUCAGUUAUUUUUUCUUCAAAUAAUCCAUUUCACUCGCGGAGUUUGUUAUUUGUAUAUAUUUGGUCUUAUUCUGAAAAAUGAAAUCAUUGUUGAUUUUUAUUUCAUUAAUGGUGCUUCUUUUUGUUCAUUCUGAGACUUGUGUAUAAUUUUAAUUCUUUUACUUCUUUAAAAUGGAUUUCAUUUUUCUGUGUUCACCCUUCUUUGUUGUCAGCCGAAGUUAUGUCUUAUUUUUUGAUAAAAUUCUUUUUAUUUCAUUGUGCCAGUUCUCUAAAUAUGUAAAUUGUUGAUAAUAGGCUUAAUAACCUCUUCUCCUGUACUCUAGUUUAAAUUAUUUCUAUGUGAAAACUUUAUCUUUAGUUCCGUGGAAAACUCAUUGUCGUCGAAAAUUUGACCAAAAAUAGAUCUAUCGGUGUUUCCUGUUACUUGGCUCAUGUGUGUUCAAUAUUACCUAACUUACCCAGUGAAUUUGUUAACUAUUUUAAGACUCUUAAAAUCAGACCAAGUGGUAAAAACCAUUUAGAUUAAUGUCUUGUUUAGAACUUUUAAUGUAGGUAACAGGAAACAUGGGUAUUUUCUAAUUUUUGGCCUGGAUGUAGUGAUACAAAUUAUAAUCAGUAUGUAGAUUGUUGAAUUUUUUUACCGAAAAUUCUAUUUUUCUUUCUUUUGCAAUUGCACAUAGGCUAUUAAUUGUUUAUUGUUAUAAAUUUUAAGUAAGUUAAUCUUUUUCUUAUUAUUUUAUAAAUACAUAAUAUACUAAUAUAUUUAGUAAAUAUAUUAAUGAAUGUAAGUAUUAAAAAUAUUUAUUAUGCAAAGAAGGCAAUUUGGUUUCCAUGGUGACUAAAAGGUAACUUUUUAGGAAUUUAGAAAUAUUAUAUUAAUGGCUGUAUACCCCUAAAACUAUAUCAGUAGCUUUGUGCAUUUAGUAAGGACUUUAAAACACCAGGCAUUAAAGGAGGGGAAUUUUUUUGCACUGCUGUUUUUAUUUUUGAAAAAAUAAGGACAAUAUUUCCUGGGAUAAAAAGUCAGGAUUGAUAAAUGGCUAGAAUCCAGAAUUUUGCUUCAUGAUUUUACAUGGUUGAACCUGUUACAGUAUCCACCAAUCAGAAUCAUUCUUCGUGGCAUGAUUUUAUAAGGUUGAACCUGUCACAGUAUCUGCCAAUCAGAAUCAUCCUUUGUUGCAUGAUUUUAUAAGGUUGAACCAGUUACAGUAUCUGCCAAUCAGAAUCAUCCUUUGAUGCAUGAUUUUAUAAGGUUGAACCUGUUACAGAAUCAGCCAAUUGGAAUCAUAUUUCACUCAGUAAUUAAGGAUACAACAACUUAAACUCAUCUAUGUCAGGAACUUACUUGUAGCAUAAAAACAAUUAUUUCUAGUUUCUUUUAAAUUGAAAAUCUGGUGUUUUCAAGUUCUUAAUAAUUAUUUCGCUUGACCAGUAACAGAAUACCAAAAAACGGUGCUAUAUGUAAAACACUUAGACUAGGUUUUUUUAUAAGAUCAUAACUCCCAUAUAUAACCGUAUGUGUAAUCAUUGUAAGAUUGAACAAAAUGAGCCUGUGAUAUAUCAUUUUGUAAAUUAGAAAAUACACCUCAAAUACUCAAAAUGAUUGCGACAAAUUCCCAAAAAUUCUUACACAUAUUUAUCAUUGUCAUUCACAAUGUCUGCCUUUGGGUUUAAAAUGCUUCCCUCAUUUUAUGUUCCUGUAUUUGAAAUAAUUCAUCCCAGAUAGAUUUCUUAACAUCACUUAUCUACCUUAAAUUUUAGAAUAUUUCUUAUUUUGGAGAAUACUAGAACUUUUGUCAGUGAUGAUGAUAUUCCCUUUCAGUUUGAUAAAUUGAAGCAUUUGCAAUAGUUUUGAUCUGAGGUGAUGACUGUUAAAAUUAGCGAAUUUGCAAAGGAAAAGAAAUUUAUUAUGCAAUUUUUGUAUCACUGCUGAUGUUUCUAAUCCGUCUUCCAGUUUCAUGAGCAAUAACAACAUCAAAAACACCAGUCAGCACCAAGCAUGUAGAUUUUACUGAAUUUGAGAAUUUUUUUGAAAAUGGUAGAUCUAUCCUAUGUUUUUUAUUAUAAGUAGUAUUAAAAAGCCGCUUUUUGAAAAAUUAUUUUGCAACUUGUGUCAUUUUUUUUUGAUGGGAGAAAACAAUGGUUAAAAAAGUUGGAUUAGUUUGAGAUAAAUAUGGUGUAAGUUUGUUUGAAGCAUUACUUUAUCAUCAAAAAAGCUGUGCUUAAGAAAAUCCAAAGGUAGACGGUUAUGUAACCUUAUAUUACUAUUCUAGCCGUAUUUAUCCUAUUUUUAGUAACUCCUUAAUAAAUACUAUACUUUUUAACGGAGUUUAUUCCAAAUUACAACUUUUUUAAAAGUGUAACCGCUAUACAUUCAAUGUUUUAAUUUUUAAUGUUUCAAGGAAUUUUUUACUUGAAAAAUAGUUUUAUGCAUUUUUACCUUUUUGGGGAUUUUUUGUAUGUAAAUAAUGUCAUGUUAUUUUUUCAACUUAUUUGUUACCAUAGCAACGUAACUACCUGACACAAGAUAGUAAUAUUAUCCGUUUAAGAGUAAUUCUGCCUUAGAGUGCAAUACGUCUUUUUUUAAAAUAGAAAUGACAUUUUCAGCCCUGUAAUCAAUACAAGUGUAUUAUUUUUUCUAUGCAAGUAAAGGAUUGGAUUUGUAGAUAUUAAGUCGUUAUACAUGAAAAUACAGCUAUUUGUGUUGUUUUUCGGAAAUAUAUUUGGGAGAGAAGAGAAAAUAUUUUUGAGCUGGCCUACCUUAAAAGUCAUUGUCAAAAACUGAUUUCCAAAUUACGAGAAAUUUUGACAGAAAUCUUAGAGAAGAAUAGUUAGAUGUUUGAUUUAACCGCCUUCAGUGUUGUUUAUGAAAGCAUGGAGGAAGAUCACUAUUCUCUCAUGAUACAUUAAAUUGUAACUUUUCUGUAAAUGCUGUUUCAGGUGGAAGUUGGACAGUAAUGUCAUACGCAAAAGAAAUUUAAAAAACAAAUUUUGUAAACAUAUUUUUGUUGCCAGAAAUUCUUCAGUGGAGGCGCACUUGUGUUAAAAUUUCCCACAUUGGACUGACCAUUCAUUUUAAAUUUAACUGGAAGAUAGUUUUUGACAGUGACUAAACCCAUUGCUGACUUUUCCCCAGAAAAAUUCUUUACAUCUGAAAUCUGGCAGUGUACUUUUAAUUUUACGAUUUGCAUGUUGUCAUUGAAAGCAUUUUUUGUACAGAAAUCUUAUUGAUUCAGAAAACAAUGUGUACAGAUUUUUCACAAACUUGUUUUUGUAUAGCUGUAACUAAUGGAAACUGUUGUCUUGUUUCCAUGGUUACGUAGAUGUCAUAGAAUGAUUGUUGUUGAGAAUGCAUGAUUUCAUCAUCUUUUUUCUGUCAUUUGAUUUUUUUUCAAUGUGACAUCAUUCAAUGGAGUAAAUGAUUUGUUGAAAUGAG